CUGGAUGACCUUGGAGGUCUUUUCUAACCUUAAGGAUUCCGUGAUUCCAUCACCCCCGAGCUGUGGGAGCAGCACAGGGGAAUAUCUCAUCCACAAUGGACCAGAGAAUGGGGUGAAACCUCCUUGUAUUGGGUUUUUUUGUGGCCAGGUUUUGCUAGCCAGGGGCUGCAGGUCUGGCUUCUGGGAAGCUGCUGGAAUAAAUUGAAUUAAUUCCCCCAUCUGAGUCUGUUUCACCCAUGGCAGUAACUGGUGAGUGAUUCCUGUUCAGUUUUUGGCCAUGCACAGCUCAGUGCCUGCCUGGAGGCCUCCUCCUGACUUUUUGAACCGAGUUUGCUCAGAAAAAGGUGUGUUUUAUAGCUGCAGGUAUGUGCUGUAAUCUUCUUCUCCCUGAUUUAAUCCUGCUGGGCAGAGGGAGCGAGAGGAGCAGAGAUGUGUGGGUUUGUUCUCAUUGUUGUUUCACCAGUGACGCUCAGCCCAGGGCUGUUAUUUUUGGAGAGUUUGGUGCUCGUGUUUAUUGCGGAGGCUCCUCGAGCUCUGGGGCUUUGAGGUGUGUAAAUCUAAAUAAGGAUGACAUUUAAAAUAGGUUGCAUGCUCUCCCUGAGCGUGCAGAGAGGAAAUAUGAGUAGACUGACUUCAGAUACUUCAAGUAAAAAAUCCCCUGUGGGAGUGUCAUUAAAGUUCUCAGCACCUCCAGGUAAUUAUAUUCUGACAUAAGUUGUUUGGGCCACAAUUCAAGGUAACUCUAAUCUGGGCCUGAUUAUGAUGGAUAAAGAGGAAUUAAUCACUGAGCUGGAAGUGGGAUUGCUCCCUGGAGGCGUGUGGUCAUGGCCUGCCUGCUGAAAUCUGGGCAAAGAUGGGACAGUUUGAGCUAAAAUCGUGUGUGUAAACACAGACACGGAGAGGCUCAGGAGGGUUGGGCAGCACAGCCGACAAAAGUGAACAGGAAAGGAGGAUUGGGAAGGGAAAGGACAUGGAGAGGGAGAUGGAAAUGGGAACUGAGAGUCAUGGAAUUGGGUUGGAAGAGACCUCAAACACCACCCAGUGCCACCCCCUGCCAUGCAGGGACGACUUCCACUGUCCCAGGUUGCUCCAAGCCCCAUCCAACCUUGCCUUGGGCACUUCCAGGGAAUCCAGGGGCAGCCACAGCUCCUCUGGGCAUCCUGUGCCAGUAGUUUUUCUUCUCCAAGACAAAAUUCUUCCAUAAAAAUGAAACGAAAUUACAGUUUUUGGGAGCCUGCUGGCUCUGCAGGUACAAUUUCCCUUCCGGAGCUGCCCUUGGACAAUGAACAGCUGGGAAGCACCAGGAGCUCUGGACAGCGGAGGAGCAGCAUUCCAUUUCUCCUUGGAAAGGAAAAGGAAGGCUCAGGCACAGAAGCACAAUAUUAGGAGCCUUCCAUAUGUUGGUGCUGAUUUAAACGGCGGCAGCAUCUCCGAGAGGGAUCCGAGGCCCCAGUGGUGACCAAGAUGGGCCUCUCCAGGUGAAGCUGGCACUGGUGGUGUUGUCCUUGCUCAAGCUGGUGGCCACCUUGGCAUUGGGGACAUGUGGAAGGUG